CCUACGGGUGGCUGCAGUGAGGAAUAUUGGUCAAUGGACGGAAGUCUGAACCAGCCAUGCCGCGUGCAGGAAGACGGCUCUAUGAGUUGUAAACUUCUUUUGUACAAGGGUAAACCUGAAUACGUGUAUUCAUCUGCAAGUACUUUACGAAUAAGGAUCGGCUAACUCCGUGCCAGCAGCCGCGGUAAUACGGAGGAUCCAAGCGUUAUCCGGAUUUAUUGGGUUUAAAGGGUGCGUAGGCGGGUUGAUAAGUUAGUGGUGAAAUGUCUGAGCUUAACUCUGGAACUGCCUCUGAUACUGGUGACCUAGAGAGUAGAUGCGGUAGGCGGAAUGUAUGGUGUAGCGGUGAAAUGCUUAGAGAUCAUACAGAACACCGAUUGCGAAGGCAGCUUACCAAUCUAUAUCUGACGCUGAGGCACGAAAGCGUGGGGAGCAAACAGGAUUAGAUACCCUUGUAGUC
rnacentral:rRNA from 1 species